rnacentral:rRNA from 1 species
UACGAAGGGGGCUAGCGUUGUUCGGAAUUACUGGGCGUAAAGCGCACGUAGGCGGACUAUUAAGUCAGGGGUGAAAUCCCGGGGCUCAACCCCGGAACUGCCUUCGAUACUGGACGGCUCGAGACCGGAAGAGGUCAGUGGAACUGCGAGUGUAGAGGUGAAAUUCGUAGAUAUUCGCAAGAACACCAGUGGCGAAGGCGGCUGACUGGUCCGGUUCUGACGCUGAGGCGCGAAAGCGUGGGGAGCAAACAGG